rnacentral:tRNA from 1 species
CCGUCGAUAGCUCAGUUGGUAGAGCGGUGGACUGUAGAGGUGUCACUCCUGCGGGAAUCCAUAGGUCGCUGGUUCGAAUCCGGCUCGACGGA